UUAAUUAGUAUAGCCUGUUUUA
rnacentral:miRNA from 1 species